rnacentral:tRNA from 4 species
CGGGAAUUAGCGCAGUUUGGUAGCGCGCCUGCUUUGGGAGCAGGAUGCCACAGGUUCAAAUCCUGUAUUCCCGAC